rnacentral:rRNA from 1 species
UACGUAGGGGGCAAGCGUUGUCCGGAAUUAUUGGGCGUAAAGAGCGUGUAGGCGGUCCGGUAAGUCGGCUGUGAAAGUCCAGGGCUCAACCCUGGGAUGCCGGUCGAUACUGCCGGACUAGAGUUCGGAAGAGGCGAGUGGAAUUCCCGGUGUAGCGGUGAAAUGUGUAGAGAUCUGGAGGAAUACCGGUGGCGAAGGCGGCCCCCUGGACAAAGACUGACGCUCAGGUGCGAAAGCGUGGGGAGCAAACAGG